GAUGAACGCUAGCGGCAGGCUUAAUACAUGCCAGUCGUGGGGCAGCAGGACUGUAGCAUUACAGUUGCUGGCGACCGGCACACGGGUGCGGAACACGUACGCAACUUACCCUGUACUGGGGGAUAGCCCGGGGAAACCCGGAUCAAUACCCCGUAAUAUAAUGGAGUGGCAUCACUUUAUUAUUAAAGCUCCGGCGGUUCGGGAUGGGCGUGCGGCUGAUUAGGUGGUUGGUUGAGGUAACGGCUCACCAAGGCUCCGAUCAGUAACUGGUGUGAGAGCACGACCAAUCAGACGGGGACCGCGACACAGGCCCCACUGCUACGGGAGGGAGCAGUAAGGAAUAUUGGGGGAUGGAGGCAACUCUGACCCAGCCAUGCCGGGUGGAGGAUGCAGGCGCUCUGGGUUGUAAACUUCUUGUAUAGAAGACGAAACGUGUGUAUUCUUACGCAGUUGACGGUACCCGAGGAAUAAGCACCGGCUAACUCCGUG
rnacentral:rRNA from 1 species